rnacentral:misc_RNA from 1 species
CGGAAACACGGUGCCGGAUAACGUCCGGCGGGGGUGACCCCAGGGAAAGUGCCACAGAAAGCAGACCGCUCCGCUUGCGGAGUAAGGGUGAAAGGGUGGGGUAAGAGCCCACCGCGGCCAUGGCAACAUGGACGGCACGGCAAACCCCACCGGGAGCAAGACCGAAUAGGGACGACACGGGUGCGCAAGCGCCCAGCCGGUUUCCAGGCGCGUCGUCCGGGUGGGUUGCACGAGGCUGCGCGCAAGCGCAGUCCCAGAUGAAUGGCUGCCACGUUUCGUCUCCUCGGAGGCGAAG